GCCCCCGAGUGAUCCGCUCCGCCUCCGCGCCCACCUCCUGCGGGAGGUGGUCCGGCCGACUGGGAUUGUGGGAGGUGUAGUUCGCCGCGAAGUGCGGCGCGCUCCGUCCUCCGCCGCGCGGGGGCAGCGAAAAUGUGGCGGUGGCCUGAACUGUGGACAGCAGAGUGGAAAUACAUGUUGAAGUAUUUAUGGAUAAAGGGAUAUGGUGUCUGCAAAUUACUCUCCAAUGAUUUAGGAAUAAACACAUGUACAGAGCAAGGGAGAAAGAGAGCAAACAAUAAGCCACAUGGACUGAAAUGUUCGUUGGAGAAAAUGGGUAAGGUGUAUUUGGAGGGUUUUUGUAUUUUUGCAACUGUUCCAUAAGUGUUAGUCAUUUUUAAUUCUUUAAAAAGAAUGUAUUUGUGGGGUGCCUGGGUGGCUCACUCUGGUUGAGUGUCUGACUCUUGAUCUCGGCUCAGGUCAUGAUCUCAUGGCCGUGGGAUUGAACCCUGCCGUGGGGUCUGUGCUGACGGUGGGGAGCCUGCUUGGAAUUCUCUCCCUCUCCCUCUGCCCCUCAUUUGUGCGCAUGCGCACAUGCUUUUGGUCUCUCUCAAAUAAAUUAAAAAAAAAAAAAAAAGUAAGUGAGCAA